rnacentral:rRNA from 1 species
UGCCUACGGGGGGCAGCAGUGAGGAAUAUUGGUCAAUGGGCGAGAGCCUGAACCAGCCAAGUCGCGUGAGGGAAGACGGUCCUAUGGAUUGUAAACCUCUUUUGCCGGGGAGCAAAAAGCGGUACGUGUACCGCAUCGAGAGUACCCGGAGAAAAAGCAUCGGCUAACUCCGUGCCAGCAGCCGCGGUAAUACGGAGGAUGCGAGCGUUAUCCGGAUUUAUUGGGUUUAACGGGUGCGCAGGCGGCGAGUUAAGUCAGCGGUAAAAUUUCGGGGCUCAACCCCGCCGAGCCGUUGAAACUGGCUU